GCCUUCGUAGUGUAACAGUCAGCACACUCGGUGCGUAUUCGAGAGGUCGAGGUUCAAAUCCCGGCGAGGGCA
rnacentral:tRNA from 1 species